AAAGGUAACGGAGGCGCUCAAAGGUUCUCUCAGUACGGUCGGAAAUCGUACGUAGAGUGUAAAGGCAAAAGAGAGCUUGAUUGCAAGAAAUACAGGGCGAGCAGGGAUGAAAAGCGGACUGAGUGAGCGGGGGGUUCUGCGUGGAAGGGCCAUCGCUCAGCGUAUGAAAGCUACCCGGGGGAUAGCAGGCUUAUCUCCACCAAGAGUCCACAUCGACGGGGAGGUUUGGCACCUCGAUGUCGGCUCAUCACAUCCUGGGGCUGUAGUAGGUCCGAAGGGUUGGGCUGUUCGCCCAUUAAAGUGGUACGCGAGCUGGGU
rnacentral:rRNA from 1 species